UACGUAGGUGGCAAGCGAUACUCGGAAUCACUAGGCGUAAAGCGCAGGUAGGCGGUUCGGUAAGUCUUUUGUGAAAGCUCCCGGCUCAACUGGGAGAGGCCAAGGGAAACUACCGGACUAGAGUGUGGUAGGGGAUACUGGAAUUCCUGGUGUAGCGGUGGAAUGCGCAGAUAUCAGGAGGAACACUGGUGGCGAAGGCGGGUCUCUGGGCAGUAACUGACGCUGAGGAGCGAAAGCGUGGGGAGCGAACAGG
rnacentral:rRNA from 1 species